rnacentral:lncRNA from 1 species
UGCUUGCAGAUAUGUGUAAGAAAUCAGAAGGAAGAGAACUUGACGGACCUUGUAAAUCAGAUGGAGAUUGUCAACCUGGAUGUCCUGGAAAAAAAGGGCAAUGUAUUCGCGGUAGAUGUUGGUGUAUUGAAUCAUCAUCUUUAGAUAAUACUACUCCUAGUGUAAUCCCUCGGAUUGCAAACUGAGUAAAUUAGUAUUGUGAGGAAAUAAUCAUGUAAGAAUAAAUAAUAUGUAAUAAUACAAUUGUUUUAAAAGGAAAAUAUUUUUCUAAAAUAAAAUAUAAUCUUAUAAAAGUUGGAUAAUUAUUUUUCAAAUUUAUUUUAUCUUUUUUGUUUUCUUUUCAUUUUAAAAAAAUAUUUUAUAUUAUUAUUUUUAUUAUAUGAAUUUCAAUACAUUAUUAAAGAUUAUUAAAAUAUUUACAUAUUUAGAUUCUAUAAUAUUAUAAUAGUGAAAAUAAUUACAAAUAUGGAUCCAUAUAUAGAACACCCAUGGAAAUAUGUAUAAUACAAAUAGAUAAUAAUUGAGCAAGACGAGUAAGGCUAAAAAUUCAUGAUUUUUUUAUAUAAUUUUAAAUGAAAAACUGGUUUAAAUAGUUUCAACUGGUGUUCAUGAUUCUUUAUUGUAUUUACAACGAGUUCAAUAGAAACACUAAAAUCAGAGUCUCGCUAUUCAGCUAAAAAAUCUAAUUUUUGGUAAUUAAAUUUUGCGCCUCAAUUCUAAUUAUUGGUUUGUACAAGUUAUGCAUGAUUGUUUCUUGAUGUUUCAAAGAUUUUGGAGUAUUGUGAUCUUCCGAUGUGGAUUGUGAGCAAUGAAGAUGUUGCAUAUAGAUUUUAAUUUUUAUUUAGGCACCAUUGUAUGGUAUGUGCCUUACUGCCUUUUUAGUUUAUGGACAUACAUAUAAUGAUAUCGCUAGGCACUUGUGUUGUAUCAGUACCAAAUUAAUAUCUCGUAUAACGUAUUUUGUCGAAGAUCACUCUACCUUCCGCUGCUUAAAAUAAGUUAAAGAUAACAACAACAACAACAACAAAAGUUCUCAUUCAAUUUUGGAAGUUGGGUUGCUCCGAAUUCUAAUUUGUUAGGUUAUAUAAGUUGUGCACGACUGAUAUCUCUUGAUUAAAAUUUAUGUUUAAUUUACUAUUUAACAGUUUUAUAAAACCCAUUUUAGUUGUUUAUUUUUUAUUAAAAUUGAUUUAGUUUUAUGUCUCUCAAUUUUUUGUACUUUUCUUAUUAUUUUAAUCUAGUUAGGUUGUUGAAGAUCACUCUUGCCUUCCGUCUGCUUCAAAAAAAGUUAAAUAUAACAACAAUAAAAAUAAUGUCUUUCAAAAAAAAACAACAAAUAUUCAUGUGCUAAUAAAAAUUUAUAUUAUUUUGAAAUAAAAACAAUAACUAACUUUAUAAUGAAAAAAUAGGAAAGUUCAUAAAGUUAUUAUAUUUAUCAUAUGUUAAAAAUAUUAUUAUCAAUAAAUAUAAUAACAAAUUUACUUCUAUCAAGAAUCUAAAUCCUUGCAAUUUUUAAUCAGAACCUAUAUUAACGACAAAGAUAAUAUUAAUUUAAGUGAAACCUAUAAGUAUUUUACAAUUAUCCUGUAAAAAAUUAAGUCAAAAUUUUAAAACUAAAAUACUAUCAUUUUAAAAAAUCUAUGAACAUAAUUGAAAUAAGAGUUUAAUUGAAAUAUUACGACACUGUAAAAGGAUUUUACACCGUCAGGUAAUCAUAGACGUCGAUAUUAAAAGAAGCUGAUUUUUAGUUUAAAAAUCUAUAAAAUAAUACAAACGCGAUGAUGGUGAAGAAUCGACGGUUGUAAAACUUUUUACACUGAUAGUGUAUAGUAAUUAAUCUCUUGAAAUAAAGAGGUCAAUCUAAUGUUUUAUUUUCUACUUCAGCGUAAGAGUUUAUUCUUGUAAUUUUAAGGUCUCACAUUUCAAAUUAACAGAAUAUUUGUAAAAUGGCCGUUUAUGUCACUUGAAUUAAUAUAAAUUAUAAUUUAUUUUUAUAAAAAAAUAUUUAAUUAUGAAUAUUGACAUCUUGUUUCGAUUAACACUUUAAUGAAUACUAACAAUGCUUUAAUGAAGGCUUGAACCUAAACUCCAUAUCUUGUAUUCAACUAACCCAAUCAAGUUGAGCUUUUCUCCCGCUAAUAAACUUUCUUUUAUCCUUUCUCAAUAUUUUAAAAUGUGAUAUAUGAUUAACAAAAGUUACAUUGAACUUGUUAUUUAUAUUUUAAUUAAGAAUAUUUAUUAUUAGUUUAUUCUUUAAAUUGAUUAAAUAUAAUAUAUUUUUGCAAUUUUUAAGGAUUAUUUUAUAUUGGUAAAAAAAUGUAUAUUUUCUUAUCUUACAUAGAAUUGAAUUUACUUUUGAAUUUAAGAAACAAUUUGAAGUAAUUAAUACAGUCAAGAUGUAGUCUCACCAUAUGCAAAUUAAGUAACAGAUAUAUGUGUCAUAUCAUAUGUUUAUAUUAAAAAGAUGGAUACUACAAAGAUGUCUGCUCUUAUAAUGAUAUAUUCUUUUUGCUUUCUGCAUCUUAACAUCAGGUUUGGAACUAAUGAUAAAUGAAUAAAUCACCUGCUUUCUAAAAGGAUGUUUAACUUCUAACAAAUUUACAUUUUGAAUUAUUCUUUGUUUACAUACGAUAUUUAUUCUUAUGUUUUGAAGAAAUAUUUGUCUUGCAGAUAUGUUAAGAAAUCAGAAGGAAGAGAACUUGACGGACCUUGUAAAUCAGAUGAGAUUGUCAACCUGGGUGUCCUGGAAAAAAAGGGCAAUGUAUUCGCGGUAGAUGUUGUGUAUUGAAUCAUCAUCUUUAGAUAAUACUACUCCUAGUGUAAUCCCUCGGAUUGCAAACUGAGUAAAUUAGUAUUGUGAGGAAAUAAUCAUGUAAGAAUAAAAAUAAUAUGUAACUAAUACAAUUGUUUUAAAAGGAAAUAUUUUUCUAAAAUAAAAUAUAAUCUUAUAAAAGUUGGA